AUUGAACGCUGGCGGCAGGCUUAACACAUGCAAGUCGAGCGGGGUGAAGUGCUUCGGUACUGAUCCUAGCGGCGGACGGGUGAGUAAUGCUUAGGAAUCUGCCAUUUAGUGGGGGCAACAUUUCGAAAGGAAUGCUAAUACCGCAUUCCUCCUACGGGGAAAAGCAAGGGGUUUUCGGGACUUGGCCUUAAUGAUUAGCCUAAGGCGGACUAGCUAGGUGGGGGGGUAAAGGCCUACCAAGGCGACGAUCUGUAGCGGGGCUGGGAGGGUUCUCCGCCGCACUGGGACUGAGAGACGGCCCAGACUCCUACGGGAGGCAGCAGUGCGGAAUAUUGGACAAUGGGCGGAAGCCUGAUCCAGCCAUGCCGCGUGUGGGAAGAAGGCCUUUUGGUUGUAAAGCACUUUAAGCGAGGAGGAGGCUACCUGGAUUAAUACUCUAGGAUAGUGGACGUUACUCGCAGAAUAAGCACCGGCUAACUCUGUGCCAGCCGCCGCCGUAAGAC
rnacentral:rRNA from 1 species